GCAGCAGUUGGCACUCUUGCUCAAUUGUCCCAAGUGGGAAGGAGCAACGCCGCGUGAGUGAUGAAGGUGUUGGGAUCCUAAAACUCCGUUGUUAAAGAAGAACAAGUGUUAGAGUAACCGUUAACACUUUGCCGGUAUUUAACCAGAAAGUCACGGCUAACUACGUGCCAGCAGCCGCGGUAAUACGUAGGUGGCAAGCGUUGUCCGGAUUUUUUGGGCGUAAAGCGAGCGCAGGCGGUUUUGUAAGUUUGUCUGUGAAAGCCCUCAGCUCAACUGAGGAAGUGCAGUGGAAACUACAAAACUUGAGUACAGAAGAGGAAAGUGGAACUCCAUGUGUAGCGGUGAAAUGCGUAGAUAUAUGGAAGAACACCAGUGGCGAAGGCGGCUUUCUGGUCUGUUACUGACGCUGAGGCUCGAAAGCAUGGGUAGCGAACAGGAUUAGAUACCCUGGUAGUCCAUGCCGUAAACGAUGAAUACUAGGUGUUGGAGGGUUUCCGCCCUUCAGUGCCGCAGCUAACGCAUUAAGUAUCCGCCUGG
rnacentral:rRNA from 1 species